CCUACGGGAGGCUGCAGUGGGGAAUAUUGGACAAUGGGGGCAACCCUGAUCCAGCCAUGCCGCGUGAGUGAUGAAGGCCUUAGGGUUGUAAAGCUCUUUCGCCCGCGAAGAUAAUGACUGUAGCGGGAGAAGAAGCCCCGGCUAACUUCGUGCCAGCAGCCGCGGUAAUACGAAGGGGGCUAGCGUUGUUCGGAAUCACUGGGCGUAAAGCGUACGUAGGCGGGCAAUUAAGUCAGGGGUGAAAGCCUUGAGCUCAACUCAAGAACUGCCUUUGAUACUGGUUGCCUGGAGUCCGGGAGAGGUGAGUGGAACUGCUAGUGUAGAGGUGAAAUUCGUAGAUAUUAGCAAGAACACCAGUGGCGAAGGCGGCUCACUGGCCCGGUACUGACGCUGAGGUACGAAAGCGUGGGGAGCAAACAGGAUUAGAUACCCGAGUAGUC
rnacentral:rRNA from 1 species